GAGUUUGAUCCUGGCUCAGAAUGAACGCUGGCGGCAUGCCUAACACAUGCAAGUCGAACGAAGGCUUCGGCCUUAGUGGCGCACGGGUGCGUAACGCGUGGGAAUCUGCCCUCAGGUUCGGAAUAACAGCGAGAAAUUGCUGCUAAUACCGGAUGAUAUCGCGAGAUCAAAGAUUUAUCGCCUGAGGAUGAGCCCGCGUAGGAUUAGCUAGUUGGUGUGGUAAAGGCGCACCAAGGCGACGAUCCUUAGCUGGUCUGAGAGGAUGAUCAGCCACACUGGGACUGAGACACGGCCCAGACUCCUACGGGAGGCAGCAGUGGGGAAUAUUGGACAAUGGGCGAAAGCCUGAUCCAGCAAUGCCGCGUGAGUGAUGAAGGCCUUAGGGUUGUAAAGCUCUUUUACCCGGGAUGAUAAUGACAGUACCGGGAGAAUAAGCUCCGGCUAACUCCGUGCCAGCAGCCGCGGUAAUACGGAGGGAGCUAGCGUUAUUCGGAAUUACUGGGCGUAAAGCGCACGUAGGCGGUUUGUAAGUUAGAGGUGAAAGCCUGGAGCUCAAAUUCCAGAAUUGCUUUAAGACUGGNUCGUUGAAUCCAGGAGAGGUGA
rnacentral:rRNA from 1 species